GAUGAACGCUGGCGGCGUGCUUAACACAUGCAAGUCGAGCGAGUGAGUUCUUCGGAACGAUCUAGCGGCGGACGGGUGAGUAACACGUGGGCAACCUGCCUCAUAGAGGGGAAUAGCCUCCCGAAAGGGAGAUUAAUACCGCAUAAAAUUAUCGAGUGGCAUCACAUGAUAAUCAAAGGAGUAAUCCGCUAUGAGAUGGGCCCGCGGCGCAUUAGCUAGUUGGUGAGGUAACGGCUCACCAAGGCGACGAUGCGUAGCCGACCUGAGAGGGUGAUCGAGCACAGUGAGACUGGGACACGGCCCAGACUCCUACGGGAGGCAGCAGUGGGGAAUAUUGCACAAUGGGGGAAACCCUGAUGCUGCAACGCCGCGUGAGUGAUGAAGGUCUUCGGAUUGUAAAGCUCUGUCUUUGGGGACGAUAAUGACGGUACCCAAGGAGGAAGCCACGGCUAACUACGUGCCAGCCGCCGCCGUAA
rnacentral:rRNA from 1 species